rnacentral:lncRNA from 1 species
UUUUUCUUCUCCCGUUCACCUCGCGUGCGCGACAACUAGGGCGACCGCCGACGCUCUACGUCCAGCUGCCCAUGUCUUCGUCGGGCUCUUUGCCGGCGACAGGAACCCACAACACCAGGUAUGCCCGUCCUUUCUCUUGCUGUACAAAAUUGAGCACCCGAACCCUAACUUGCGCUAUUUGUAUUCGGAUCUGAUCUAGUCAAAAGUGUAUACAUUCGUUUUUUUAUCGAUUCAUGUUCUGUCCUUUAUUGUUCCGCUCCUGAUUCUAGGUGAUCUGGCAAUAUAGUACUUUCAAGUUAGAAGUUAGCAUUUGCUCCAACUUUCUACUAACUUAUUCCUUGGUCAUCACAAAAUUGAUCUAAAUUUCUGAUUAUUUCUCUGGCAUGAAAUAUCAUUGUACAUCUACGCUUCUCUGGCAUGAUCGAUGGAAUGGGCAAUGUUUAUCUGAAAAGUUCCCGGAGCUCUGGUCUUUUGCCUCGGUCAAAGAGAUUAACAUCCAUCAAACUCGAUUAGCUUCCCCAAAUGAAAUGUUUCAUACCCCCUUCUGCUGAAGC